UCGCACUCGCUGCGGAGGCGGGCGGCGAAGGUCUGSACGCCGAAGGCGCUGGUGUCCAUCUGGCCCUGCACAGCCGCCACCAGCCGGGCGCAGUCCCCGCACAGAUCCCCCCGCUCCCACGGGUCCUGGGGCUGCAGCGGCGGCGGCGGCAGCAUGUUGGCCGCGAAGGGGGCGGCCGGCUGGGCAAAGUCGUCCCCGGGCGACGCCGGCGGCUUCCGAAACUCGAGGGCGCCGGCGGGGCGCUGCCGGGGCUGGCACAGCUUGAUGGUCCCGCACACCACCUUGGGGUCCGACUGCGGGGCGAGCGGGGCCGUCAGGGCGCGGGCGUCCCACGUGGCACCCGCCCCGCCGAGGCCCCCCGCGCACCCCCUGCCRCUCACCAGCACUUGCUUGCCCAGCUGGGUGAGCACCAGGAUGCCCGUGUCCACCAUCUUCUUGCACUUGACCGACCAGUCCUGGAAGGGCAGGUACUGGCACUUCUUCUCCAGAAAGCCCCGGAGCUUGUCCUAGGAGGGAAGGCGAGGGGGAGGGGGGGAGGCUUAGGGCUCGGCACCCCCCACGGCCGGAGCCGUGGGGCGGAGGGGCCGGCACCCACCUCAGUGCAGUUGUCCUGCAGGAUCUUCCCCACCACGGAGACCACCACCUGGCACAGGUGGCACGGGAUGCCCUUCUGCGGAGAGAGAAGGCGCACGUCGGCGACACCCCUGGCCCCAAAAAAGCCCCGGCUGCCUCCUCCCACCYGCCCAGGGCUUUUGGGGGACAGGCAACGACGUGGUGCCCACCACGGGCCCGGGUUGCCGCUGGUGGACGUUGCUCCGCUGCCAAAGAGGGUGGCCCCACAACCAUCCGUGCCGCGGGAAUGCCCUCGGGYGUCCCUUUCGUUUUGGGCUCGCUCCUUGCAAAAGCGACCGCCACAGUAAUGCGCCUUUUUGGCAGGGACUCGGGUUGCCUGUUGCUGCUGUGACCGUCAGGCGUCCCUUAGCUUGGGGACUUUGGUUGAGGACGAGCCACAGGCACAGCGAAACUGUGUAGCACUUGCCGAGAGGGNNNNNNNNNNNNNNNNNNNN
rnacentral:lncRNA from 1 species